GACGAACGCUGGCGGCGUGCUUAACACAUGCAAGUCGAACGGAGAGGCCCUGCUUGCAGGGUACUCGAGUGGCGAACGGGUGAGUAACACGUGUGUGAUCUGCCCUGCACUUCGGGAUAAGCCUGGGAGACUGGGUCUAAUACCGGGGAUGAGCCAAGUUUAGGGAUAUGGUUGGAAAGUUUUUUCUGUGGGGGGUGAGCGCGCGGCCUAUCAGCCUGUUUGUGGGGUAAUGGCCUACCAACGCGGGGGCGGGGAGGCGGCCGGAGAGGGUGGACGGCCCCACUGGGACUGUGAGACGGCGCAGACUCCCACGGGGGGCGGAAGAGGGGAAUAUUGCACAAUGGGGGCAAGCCCGAUGUAGCGACGCGGCGUGGGGGAUGACGGCCUUCGGGUUGUAAACUCCUUUCGCUAGGGACGAAGCGUUUUGUGACGGUACCUAGAUAAGAAGCACCGGCUAACUACGUG
rnacentral:rRNA from 1 species